CAAGCCUCUUAAAGUUUUAAUUGCAGGGGGCUGAAGGCACACACUGUCGUACUGCUGGUAGCAGGGAUGCAGGCAGCACUUGCUGGGAAGGGAGGCCCAGCAAAAACCUCCCAUCCCCAGCCACUUGCUUUCCUCCUACUUUGCUGAGUCCCAGUACAGGAACCAUGGAAGGAAACAAGGAAUCUCACUGGUCUCAGCAGCUUCAGAGAACGUGCUUCCACAGGUGAAGGAGGCGAAGAAGUCAUAUAGAACAUUGAACAGUUGCUAACAGUCCCAAUCUUUUCACCUCUACCCUUAGAGCAACUCUACACAGCCUGGCUGUCAGUACCCAGCAUGAUCCUUGGCCACAGAAGAUGCAAAAUUUAGAUUUCCCAUUGACCACUGCCAAUCUGGACAGCGGCCAUCUGGUGUGAGAAAGGAAGAAAAAAACAUCUGCCAGUGUUAAAAAUCCCAUACACUUUAUCUUACAUAGUACAGGUAUUUUUGUACAAGCACAGCUAUAACAAAUAAUGAAGCUGUUUUGAUUUCAGGACUGUUAAUUGGAUAAAUAAGGUCAGUAACCACACUCAUAACUGCGUGUGAAUCCAUUCUCCCUGACCUGAGCACCAACAGCUUCAAUUUUGACGUUCAGGCUCUUAGCCAACCUUUUGUCCACUAAGUCUUCCUGCUUUUUUUCUUUUCUUUCAUCUGUUCACUCACCAGACCUAUCUGCAGGACAGUCAAACACUUACCCAGGAUAAUACUCUGUCAGAAGGUUGGUAAUGGCAUGGUGCAAUAUAAUGCUGAUUUGUAGCAAUGCUGUGAUGAAAUAUCUAGGCAGAAUGUCAGGGACAUUGUAUUUAUCUUUCUGGGGUACUUUUGAAUCAUUUUGAGAAAGGCCAAGUAUGCCUGUGAUAAUGUGAUAUUAUCAGAGAUGAGUUUCAACACCUCUUUUGCACGUGUAGAGUUAAUAUGGGGAGAGAAAAUCCACAUUAACUCCAACAUCAUGAUCCUGCACCCACUUCUUUGCCAUAGUUCAGCAAAAGCAGCCUCCAGCCUGGUCUGGAAAGCAUGGGCAUCACCUCUAUGCUCAGGCUGAGCUCUGUUUUGCUCAGUAUCACUCCCUGGCAGAGAGUUAACUUCUCAGGGGUAAUUCUAUGCGGAAACACACUCCAUCUCAAUUAAAGCUCUGGAAUUAUACACGAGACACACAUUUGUGUGGGGAACAAGAAAAACUGCCCUGCUGGCAAAUGCAGUGAGCACAUAAUUGUCCACAUGAUGUGGCUUGAAGAAAGCAAGAUGCAUCAAACUCUGGAGCACUCCAUUGCUACCUCAGUCUGCUGCUUUUGUUCACUGCUGCUGCUAAAUCCACGUCACAUUUCCCAUUAAGCUGUAAGUGCUCAUUUCAGAGAAGCCCU
ensembl:lncRNA